UGCAAGUCGAACGGAAACGAUGGUAGCUUGCUACCAGGCGUCGAGUGGCGGACGGGUGCGUAACGCGUAGGAAUCUACCCAAUAGAGGGGGAUAACUCGAGGAAACUCGAGCUAAUACCGCAUAAUCCCUACGGGGGAAAGAGGGCCGCUCCUUGGAAGCUCUCACUAAUGGAUGAGCCUGCGUCGGAUUAGCUAGUUGGUAGGGUAAAGGCCUACCAAGGCGAUGAUCCGUAGCUGGUCUGAGAGGACGAUCAGCCACACUGGGACUGAGACACGGCCCAGACUCCUACGGGAGGCAGCAGUGGGGAAUAUUGGACAAUGGGCGCAAGCCUGAUCCAGCAAUACCGCGUGUGUGAAGAAGGCCUGAGGGUUGUAAAGCACUUUCAAUUGUGAAGAAAAGCCUGGGGUUAAUAGCCUCGAGUCUUGACGUUAACUUUAGAAGAAGCACCGGCUAACUCUGUGCCAGCAGCCGCGGUAAUACAGAGGGUGCGAGCGUUAAUCGGAAUUACUGGGCGUAAAGCGUGCGUAGGCGGUCUAUCAAGUUGGGUGUGAAAGCCCGGGGCUCAAACCCGGAACUGCACUCAAAACUGUCUAGCUAGAGUACGAUAGAGGGGGGUAGAAUUUCAGGUGUAGCGGUGAAAUGCGUAGAGAUCUGAAGGAAUACCAGUGGCGAAGGCGGCCCCCUGGAUUGAUACUGACACUGAGGUGCGAAAGCGUGGGUAGCAAACAGGAUUAGAUACCCUGGUAGUCCAUGCCGUAAACGAUGUCAACUAGCCGUUGGAAGACUUUGACCGUUUAGUGGGGCAGCAAACUCAAUAAGUUGACCGCCUGGGGAGUACGGCCGCAAGGUUAAAACUCAAAUGAAUUGACGGGGGCCCGCACAAGCGGUGGAGCAUGUGGUUUAAUUCGAUGCAACGCGAAGAACCUUACCUACCCUUGACAUCCAGAGAAUCUGUUAGAGAUAGUAGAGUGCCUUCGGGAAUUCUGUGACAGGUGCUGCAUGGCUGUCGUCAGCUCGUGUCGUGAGAUGUUGGGUUAAGUCCCGUAACGAGCGCAACCCUUAUCCUUAGUUGCUAGCAGGUAAUGCUGAGAACUCUAGGGAGACUGCCGGCGAUCAACCGGAGGAAGGUGGUGACGACGUCAAGUCAUCAUGGCCCUUAUGGGUAGGGCUACACACGUGCUACAAUGGUCGGUACAGAGGGCUGCAAAACCGCGAGGUGGAGCAAAUCCCAGAAAACUGUUCGUAGUCCGGAUCGGAGUCUGCAACUCGACUCCGUGAAGUCGGAAUCGCUAGUAAUCGCGAAUCAGCAUGUCGCGGUGAAUACGUUCCCGGGCCUUGUACACACCGCCCGUCACACCAUGGGAGUGGGUUGCAAAAGAAGUGGGUAGACUAACCUUCGGGACGUCGCUCACCACUUU
rnacentral:rRNA from 1 species